UGCACAUGUAGAUGUAGUGAGAGAGAGAGAGUGGAUGAAUGAGACGCGUCUGAGCUGAGAAGGGCAGAGAGGAAGAGCAGAAGAAGAGAUUGCACGCAAGGGAAUAACUGAGAGCUUCCAUCCAGAAAAUAGUUGAGCUUAAGAUGGAAGGACGAUACAUCUCUUGGCAAACAAUUUUAGCUUGUUUUUUCCUACUGGGCCAAUUUCUCUGGGUCCGAGCGGACGUUCACUACUAUGAUUUCACGUUGAAAGAAAUGAACGUCACAAAACUUUGCGUUACUGAGAGCAUAUUAACAGUGAACGAUCUUUUUCCUGGACCCGUAAUUCGAGUACACAAAGGAGACAUUCUGUACGUAAACGUGACUAAUAAAGGAGAUUACGGCAUCACCAUUCAUUGGCACGGAGUGAAGCAACCUCGCAAUCCAUGGUCCGAUGGACCAGUAUUCAUUACACAAUGUCCAAUCCUACCAGGAUCGUACUUCACCUACGAAGUCAUUUUCUCUGAAGAGGAAGGAACCCUUUGGUGGCAUGCCCAUAGCGACUGGACACGAGCAACUGUUCACGGCGCGAUUGUCAUCUUACCCAAAGAAGGGACCACGUUUCCAUUCCCGAAGCCAGAUGCAGAAGAGGUUAUCGUGCUGGGUUCGUGGUACAAAGGGAAUUUGAACGCAGAGGUGAAUGAUGCCAUGGCAAAUGGGAGUGACAUACCCCAUUCGAGAGGAUGGUUAAUCAAUGGCGAACUUGGUGAUUUUGCUAAUUGCUCUAGUGAAACAACGUAUCGUUGGUCAGUUAAUUACGGAAAGACAUACCUUCUACGGAUAGUCAAUGCAGUGAAUGAUGAUCAGCUCUUCUUUGCUAUAGCCAAUCACAACCUCACAAUUGUGGGGUUGGAUGCAGCAUACAUAAAGCCUAUAGCGACGAGCUAUGUCAUGAUAAGCCCGGGACAAACAAUGGAUGUGCUGCUCACCGCAAACAGGCCUCUUGGACAAUACUACAUGGUUAGUACACAAUUUUUGACUGAGUCCGCCUACAUGAACAUGGAUAUCGGUUCGGCCAUCAUUGAAUAUACAGGAGACUACAACUUCUCAUCCUCCCCAAUUUUUCCCGACCGCCUCCCAGAGGCUAAGGAUGUGGAAGCUGCGAUGAGAUUUACGGGCUUGAUUCGAAGCCUGGCAGAUGAAGAUUAUCCCAUAAGCGUCCCAUUAAAUGUAACCAUGAAGAUGUUCAUAGUAGUAUCCAUGAACUACCUUUGCAGAAAUCGUACAUAUUGCGAUGACCCCACAGCUCAUAAAAUCAUUGCCUCAAGCAUGAAUAACAUUAGUUGGGCCAACCCAACUGUCGACGUACUGGAGGCUUAUUAUGGGAAUAUAAGCGGUUAUUACACAACCGACUUUCCAGAUAGGCCUUUGGUCAUGUACAAUUUUACUGCGAAAGACAAAGAUGAUGAUGUUGCUAUUACAGAUGAAGCGACAAAGGUUAAGGUUUUGAACUACAAUGAAUCGGUGGAGAUAGUGUUUCAAGGAACUGAUGUCAUAGGUGGGUCUGGCGUUCAUCCAAUGCAUAUGCAUGGUUAUAGCUUCUAUGUGGUUGGGAUGGGUCAAGGGAAUUUCAAUAACGAGACGGAUCCUCUUACAUAUAAUCUGAUCGAUCCCCCAAAGGCUAACACUUUUAUAGUCCCAAAGAGUGGAUGGCUAGCCAUCAGAUUCGUCGCAGAUAAUCCAGGUGUUUGGUUUUGGCAUUGUCACUUCGACCGACACCUCAGCUGGGGUAUGGACACGGUUUUCAUAGUGAAGAAUGGAGAGACUGAGGAAACGAGCAUCCGUCCGCCGCCUUCCGACAUGCCUGCUUGCAUCUUCAGUAAGCACGACAUCUCUAUCAGGAAAUGGGAUGAUAAUAAUGCUGGUGAUGAUCAAGAUUACCUUUAAGAGUAGGUGCUUUUGCUUUUGCUGUUAGAGAUUAUACUGUUUCAAUCAUAUAGAAAAUAUAAUAUUUAAAGUGAGAUUCUAUACUAUUUUAUUAUACUAGGUCUACGGGACUUCCCCUGUAACCGAAAAAAAUUCUAUUGAGAAAGGGGACAUAGUGUGGUGCCACACGCCCCUAUGAAAACCAAUUGAACUCAAAAGAUUUCGAGUUCAAUUGGUUCUAUGUCAAUUCGAUAGAAGAAUAGUCUGCACAAAAGUUGUAGGAACCAAGUAUAUACCCAUACCUGGAAUUAUAUUUUUCCAAAUAAAGAGACCCAGAUGUUCCACUGAUAAAGAUAGAAUCCGAAACAUCUUUAGUCUGAGCUAACAUUUUAUAUCACUGCACUAAGCCCAUUCCUUUAAUUGGGUGUGAGACCCUACAUUUAAUUUUCAAACAUGCAUACAUAAAAACAUAUACUUUCGUAUACUUAUAUAUAUAUAUAUAUAUAUAUAUUAUAUACAUGUUGCUGGAGCAUAAAAAAAAGAAAAAAAAGAAAGACAUGGUGGCAUGGGCUCCACGUGUCUCAGACCACCCUUUCCACCGCCCAACAUUUCACUUUCAUUCGUUCCUUUCUUUUCUUCAUUUUUUUUUUUUUUGCUAUGUUUCUGGGCUGGAGGAGACGACGACGAACAGAGAGAGAGACAGAGAGAACGGCUAAGAGUCGAGGGAGUCACGAUGAUUUUCACAUUUUGCCGCAUCUCCGUGAAGCCUUUCACCGGAAUAGGUGAAAACAGAAUCGAUUUGGAGAUCUUAAGGAAUUCUACCGUAUCUUGAAUUUUGUGUUUGCUCCGCAUCUUUAAUUUUUAGAUAUGGAAAAGCAGGGCAAACUCUUAAAUUCUAUUGGACUUAUAUGGAUUUGGACUGAACUUUUAACUUAAAAAUUCGAGCUGA